rnacentral:lncRNA from 1 species
ACCCGAUCGAAAUGCAAAAAAGUUGGUUUCACGGGCAAAGGAUCGUUCGACAUUGCUACUGCACGAGCUCCCACAGUAUUAUUAGUUGGUAUGUUAGAAUGAGUCGAACUCGAAGUUCGAUCUCGUCGAGUACCUGCUGCGUGCUAUAUUGUUAUGUUUUGCCGAUCUUCCAUCGUAGGUGUUCAUCCAUGGAGAUCGAUGAUGUUGCAUUCAUGAUUUUUCUGUUGCAGGCUUGCAGGAACAAGUACAAGGCCAGGAGCUCUAGGAUGAGGUGGAAUUAAGGCCUUGUUUAGUUUCCAAAAUUUGCCAAAAUUUUUCAAUAUUUUUCAUCACAUCGAAUCUUUGAACCAUGCAUGGAGUAUUAAAUAUAAAUAAAAAUAUUAAUUAAUUGCACA